rnacentral:rRNA from 1 species
AUUGAACGCUGGCGGCAGGCCUAACACAUGCAAGUCGAGCGGCAGCGGGAAAGUAGCUUGCUACUUUUGCCGGCGAGCGGCGGACGGGUGAGUAAUGCCUGGGAAAUUGCCCAGUCGAGGGGGAUAACAGUUGGAAACGACUGCUGAUACCGCAUACGCCCUACGGGGGAAAGCAGGGGACCUUCGGGCCUUGCGCGAUUGGAUAUGCCCAGGUGGGAUUAGCUAGUUGGUGAGGUAAUGGCUAACCAAGGCGACGAUCCCUAGCUGGUCUGGGAGGAUGAUCAGCCACACUGGAACUGAGACACGGUCCAGACUCCGACGGGAGGCAGCAGUGGGGAAUAUUGCACAAUGGGGGAAACCCUGAUGCAGCCAUGCCGCGUGUGUGAAGAAGGCCUUCGUGUUGUAAAGCACUUUCAGCGAGGAGGAAAGGUUGAUGCCUAAUACGUAUCAACUGUGACGUUACUCGCAGAAGAAGCACCGGCUAACUCCGUGCCAGCCGCCGCCGUAACAC